AAUACAUCUGCCCAGGCAAAUGACCAAACAAAGGACGGAAUCGCUGAAAUAUUGUGCAAAAUAUUGUCCAUCCCCCCACCGAAGUCCACAGAGAAUUGGCUAUACCGUCUAACGCACUCUCUUGCCUAAGCAUCUGCUCCGUUCAUUCGGUGAGGUGAGGUGAGGGGGGAACCGCUGUGAGCCUCCGCUCGCGCUUUUGUUCAGUGUCUCUCCUCGCGACCGGCGAAGUGCGCGCGCCGUUUCGAGCUCCUCUCUGGACUCGGGCUGAGGAGAAACGACGUGCUCUUUGAACGGUUUCAGCGAAGAGAGGAGUUGAUUUCAACACGUUUCUGAGGCUGAACAGAUUUGCAUGGUUUACCUCGGCGGCUGUUAUCGGCCACUCCGCUGUAUCUGAGGCGACGCGGCAUUCCUGUGGACUUUCUGAGGCGACGACGCGCUUCACUUAGGAGAAGGAUGCUGGGGGAGCUCCGCUUGACUGCGCUCCAGUCUCUCCUGGCUAUGUGUCUGCUCUUCACCCUAGAACAUGGCCUGGUGAGCUGUGAUACUGUGGUGAACAUGCGUAAGGUGACUCACCAGCGGGUUCAGGAGCCUCUGUCGGUGCGGCCCUCCUGCCGUG